CAUGGACAGUGGAGAGAGAUUUAUGAGAAGAUCGACGAGAUCAGGUUGAAGAUAAGGGAGGAUGGUUACGUGGCCCAGACGGGACUCGUGUUGCACGACAUUGGAGAGGAAGAGAAAGAGAACGCUUUGUGCUAUCACAGCGAGAAAUUGGCGGUGGCCUACGGACUGAUGAUGAUGGAUGGUGCGGAAGAGGAGUGUCCGGUGAGAGUUAUAAAGAACCUGAGAAUUUGUGGGGACUGUCACGUUGUUUUCAAACAUAUUUCAAAGAUUUAUAACAGAGAGAUCAUUGUUA